AGUUACAGAUAUUAGAGUUGUAUAAUAUUUAUUUUGGGGAAGUAAAGUCAGUCAACAAGACAGAAGAGCUUCACAUGCAGGAGGAGACUGAACGUAUUCAGUUCUUGGUGCCGUUUUGCAGAAACCGUGAACCAACAGGGCAGGAACAUGUGAACAAUGUCUCCUAGCAGACGACAUUAUGCUAAUGGAUAUGCUAACUGUUGGGGAAAGGGGACGUCCUGACACCUGAAUGAUGAGCCGGAUUGUAAGAGUCCUGGAAACUGAACCCGGAGGACAUCAGCUGGGCCUCCAGACACUUGAUCUCCAAUCAUCUGGAAGAAUC